rnacentral:rRNA from 1 species
AUUGAACGCUGGCGGCAUGCCUUACACAUGCAAGUCGAACGGCAGCGGACCUUCGGGUGCCGGCGAGUGGCGAACGGGUGAGUAAUAUAUCGGAACGUACCUUUCAGUGGGGGAUAACGUAGCGAAAGUUACGCUAAUACCGCAUAUUCUGUGAGCAGGAAAGCAGGGGAUCGCAAGACCUUGCGCUGAUUGAGCGGCCGAUAUCAGAUUAGCUAGUUGGUGAGGUAAAGGCUCACCAAGGCGACGAUCUGUAGCGGGUCUGAGAGGAUGAUCCGCCACACUGGAACUGAGACACGGUCCAGACUCCUACGGGAGGCAGCAGUGGGGAAUUUUGGACAAUGGGCGCAAGCCUGAUCCAGCCAUGCCGCAUGAGUGAAGAAGGCC